UACGUAGGGUGCGAGCGUUAAUCGGAAUUACUGGGCGUAAAGCGUGCGCAGGCGGUUUUGUAAGCCAGAUGUGAAAUCCCCGGGCUCAACCUGGGAAUGGCAUUUGGGACUGCAAGGCUCGAGUGCGGCAGAGGAGACUGGAAUUCCUGGUGUAGCAGUGAAAUGCGUAGAUAUCAGGAGGAACACCCGUGGCGAAAGCGGCUCUCUGGGACGGUACUGACGCUGAGACGCGAAAGCGUGGGGAGCAAACAGG
rnacentral:rRNA from 1 species